GCGGGUAUAGCUCAGGGGUAGAGCAUGUGCUUAGGAAGCAUGAGAUGCUGGGUUCAAUUGCCAGUACCUCCA
rnacentral:tRNA from 1 species